rnacentral:rRNA from 1 species
UACGUAGGGUGCGAGCGUUGCCCGGAUUUAUUGGGCGUAAAGGGCGCGUAGGCGGUCACGCACGUCCGUUGCGAAAUCGCUCGGCUCAACUGGGCGGGGUCAGCGGAUACGGCGUGGCUGGAGCAAGCUAGGGGGCAAUGGAAUUCCCGGUGUAGUGGUGGAAUGCGUAGAUAUCGGGAGGAACACCAGUGGCGAAGGCGGUUGCCUGGAGCUUUGCUGACGCUGAUGCGCGAAAGCGUGGGGAGCGAUCCGG